GUGAGAUGGAAGCAAGCAAGAAGCUCUUUGACAUCAUCCAGACUGAGCAUUGGAUUACAACAAACAAGACUUACUGACAAAGGAGUAAGGAAACGCCUCCUAAACUCUAGAAAGGGCAGCUUCGUCAAUCUGCGUGUAGAAACAGAAGCAGCAAGUCUAAAGCAAGAAUACAUCUAGGAACUCUGGCUAUUUGCCAUCAUAUGCACACAUGUGGGACUGAACUGUAUCUGAUCCUUGAAUUUUAAGAGACUAACUUGUUGGCCUGAGAGCUGCUGAAGCCAUUUCUGGAUUCUGCCACAUACAAUGUUGGUGAGAUGAUGGAGACUGAGCCUGCCUAUGCUGACUUCAUCACCUGUGAUCGGACUGGUCGGAGAAAUGCUGUUCAUGUUCUUCCAGGGGAUGCAGUUGCCAUUAAGUUGGAGAAACCAGCAAACACCAUGGAUAUUUCUGUUGCAGAUGAAGAAAAUCAAUCAAAGGAAACUGCUAAUGAAAAAAACCCUGGGCUGAUUCCUGAAAGGAAGAAUGAUAAUUCAACCUUCUAAUUUAGGAUGCAGAAGGUGGAAGACUAGAUAACAACACUUGAUAGUUACUCUAUAUGCUAAGAAAUCAGACUGCAACAGGAAAAUCUUUACUUACCAUUUGGAUGUCAUAAUCACUUUGUGCAGCAAUUAAUUGGUAUCUCCGAAGUUAUUUCUUUCUUUAAAGCUACAAAAUAAGAUCUGUUCUGGUAACCUGAGCCAGUUAGAGAGCGUUAAGCAGCUAUUUUCUGUACAGUUAAACAACAUUUCCAUAAUAUGUAUUUCAGAUUUUAUUGUAAAAGGUGCCUUUUGUUCACUUAGUAAAUUUAAACUAUUUA